GGACAAUGGGCGAAAGCCUGAUCCAGCAAUGCCGCGUGCAGGAUGAAGGCCCUCGGGUUGUAAACUGCUUUUGUACGGAACGAAAAGCCUGGGGCUAAUAUCCCCGGGUCAUGACGGUACCUGCAGAAGAAGCAUCGGCUAACUACGUGCCAGCAGCCGCGGUAAUACGUAGGAUGCAAGCGUUGUCCGGAAUUAUUGGGCGUAAAGCGUACGUAGGCGGUUUGUUAAGUCAGGGGUUAAAGACUGAGGCUCAACCUCAGGAGUGCCCUUGAUACUGGCAGGCUGGAGGACGGCAGAGGAAAGUGGAAUUCCCAGUGUAGCGGUGAAAUGCGUAGAUAUUGGGAGGAACACCAGUGGCGAAAGCGACUUUCUGGGCCGUUCCUGACGCUGAGGUACGAAAGCGUGGGGAGCAAACAGGAUUAGAUACCCUGGUAGUCCACGCCGUAAACGAUGGAUACUAGGUGUAGAGGGUAUCGACCCCCUCUGUGCCGUAGCUAACGCGUUAAGUAUCCCGCCUGGG
rnacentral:rRNA from 1 species